rnacentral:rRNA from 1 species
GGGACACAUCAGCGGCAAACGGGUGAGUAACACGUAGGUAACCUACCCCAGAGACAGGGAUAAGCCUAGGAAACGAGGGCUAAUACCGGAUGACCUCCGGAAGGAGGAAAGGCUCAGGCGCUCUGGGAGGGGCUUGCGGCCCAUCAGCUAGUUGGUAGGGUAAAGGCCUACCAAGGCGAAGACGGGUAGGGGGUGUGAGAGCACGGNCCCCCACAAUGGGACUGAAACACGGCCCAUACUCCUACGGGAGGCAGCAGCAGGGAAUAUUGCACAAUAGGCGAAAGCCUGAUGCAGCGACGCCGCGUGAGUGAAGAAGGCCUUCGGGUCGUAAAGCUCUUUUGUAGGGGAAGAGGAAGGACGGUACCCUAAGAAGAAGCGUCGGCUAACUACGUGCCAGCAGCCGCGGUAAGACGUAGGACGCGAGCGUUAUCCGGAAUUACUGGGCGUAAAGGGCCAGCAGGCGGCUUGGUUAGUUGUGCGUGAAAGCCUCGUGCUCAACGCGAGGAAGCCGGACAAUACUGUCAAGCUAGAGGGCAUCAGAGGGGAGUGGAAUUCCCGGAGUAGCGGUAAAAUGCGCAGAUAUCGGGAGGAACACCGAUGGCGAAGGGGGCUCCCUGGGAUGCAACCUGACGCUUAGAGGCGAAAGCUAGGGGAGCGAACAGGAUUAGAGACCCUGGUAGUCCUAGCUGUAAACGCUGGGUUGCUAGGUGUGGGACGUAGAAGUUCCGUGCCGGAGCAAACGCGAUAAGCACCCCGCCUGGGAAUUACGGUCGCAAGGCUGAAACUCAAACGAAUUGACGGGGCCCCGCACAAGCAGCGGAGCGUGUGGUUCAAUUCGAUGCUACACGAAGGACCUUACCUGGGUUUGACAUGUACGUGGUACGAAGGCGAAAGCCUAAGGGACCCUUCGGGGAGCGUACAUAGGUGCUGCAUGGCUGUCGUCAGCUCGUGCCGUGAGGUGU